CGAAGCCACGCCCCCAGCAACCCUCUGCCGCAAGAGAGGCCCUGGUCUGGCCCUCUGUGCCUGACGUGCCGCCUCUGACCCAGCGACUGUUCCUGACUGACCACAGGGAGGAGCCUGUGCACAAUCAUGGAGGGCGCUGGCAAGUCUGGUGGAGAGGGAAGGAAUUCAGGAAGGAAAAUUAAGAGAGUGGGUACCAGGCAGAUUUCUGGAUGAGGCCCAGAGGAGCAUUUUUAUUCAUCCAUUCAUUCAACAAGGGACUAUGUCGUAUCCAACUUGUAUCCCUAGAGCAUAACACAACGUCUACACGUAAGAGAGAAAGUAAGUGCUUGUUAAAAUUGAGCACUUUGGCCGGUUGUGAUGGCUCACAUG